ACAGCGGUGGUUCAGUGGUGGAAUUCUCGCCUUCCACGCGAGAGACCUGGGUUCGAUUCCCAGCCAGUGCA
rnacentral:tRNA from 1 species